rnacentral:tmRNA from 1 species
GGGGGUGCAUGGUUUCGACUUCGGUCGUCGAGAUGGGUGAAGCGAGCCGUGGUUUCCGGAGCCACGUAAAAGAGCCGGAAAAAAACAAAUAAACGCCAACGCUAACGCGUUUGCAGUCGCUGCCUAACUAGCAGUGUCCGUCCGCCCGGUCUCAGCCCUAUGGACCGGAACCGGGCGUCAUCAAGUAGGGCUUACCGGUUGAGCCUCGUCAGCGGGCUCCAGCGGGAAAUCUCAGCUGACUGGGGC